rnacentral:rRNA from 1 species
UACAGAGGUCUCAAGCGUUGUUCGGAUUCAUUGGGCGUAAAGCGCGUGUAGGCGGCCCGGUAAGUCCGCUGUGAAAGUACGGGGGCUCAACCCUCAAAGCCGGUGGAUGACUGUCGGGCUCGAGUGCGGAAGAGGCGAGUGGAAUUCCUGGUGUAGCGGUGAAAUGCGCAGAUAUCAGGAGGAACACCGAUUGCGAAGGCAGCUCGCUGGGACGUUACUGACGCUGAGACGCGAAAGCGUGGGGAGCAAACAGG